UUGAUCCUGGCUCAGGACGAACGCUGGCGGCGUGCCUAAUACAUGCAAGUCGAGCGGACAGAUGGGAGCUUGCUCCCUGAUGUUAGCGGCGGACGGGUGAGUAACACGUGGGUAACCUGCCUGUAAGACUGGGAUAACUCCGGGAAACCGGGGCUAAUACCGGAUGCUUGUUUGAACCGCAUGGUUCAAACAUAAAAGGUGGCUUCGGCUACCACUUACAGAUGGACCCGCGGCGCAUUAGCUAGUUGGUGAGGUAAYGGCUCACCAAGGCAACGAUGCGUAGCCGACCUGAGAGGGUGAUCGGCCACACUGGGACUGAGACACGGCCCAGACUCCUACGGGAGGCAGCAGUAGGGAAUCUUCCGCAAUGGACGAAAGUCUGACGGAGCAACGCCGCGUGAGUGAUGAAGGUUUUUGGAUCGUAAAGCUCUGUUGUUAGGGAAGAACAAGUACCGUUCGAAUAGGGCGGUACCUUGACGGUACCUAACCAGAAAGCCACGG
rnacentral:rRNA from 1 species